GACGAACGCUGGCGGCGUGCCUAAUACAUGCAAGUAGAACGCUGAAGGAAGGAGCUUGCUCUUUCCGGAUGAGUUGCGAACGGGUGAGUAACGCGUAGGUAACCUGCCUGGUAGCGGGGGAUAACUAUUGGAAACGAUAGCUAAUACCGCAUAACAGUAGAUAUCGCAUGAUAGCUGCUUGAAAGGUGCAAAUGCACCACUACCAGAUGGACCUGCGUUGUAUUAGCUAGUUGGUGAGGUAACGGCUCACCAAGGCAACGAUACAUAGCCGACCUGGGAGGGUGAUAGGCCACACUGGGACGGAGACACGGCCCAGACACCGACGGGAGGCAGCAGUAGGGAAUCUUCGGCAAUGGACGGAAGUCUGACCGAGCAACGCCGCGUGAGUGAAGAAGGUUUUCGGAUCGUAAAGCUCUGUUGUAAGAGAAGAACGAGUGUGAGAGUGGAAAGUUCACACUGUGACGGUAUCUUACCAGAAAGGGACGGCUAACUACGUGCCAGCCGCCGCCGUAA
rnacentral:rRNA from 1 species